UAGUUGGUGUGGUAAUAGCUCACCAAGCCUAUGACGGGUAGCCGGGCUGAGAGGAUGUACGGCCGCAAUGGAACUGAGACACGAUCCAUACUCCUACGGAGACGCAGCCUUGGGGAAUCUUGCGCAAUGGGCGAAAGCCUGACGCAGACAAUCCCGCGGUGAAGGAUGAAGCAUUAUGGUGUGUAAACUUCUUUUCUGGUGGAAGACGAAUGACGGUACACCAGGAAUACGGGACGGCUAACUGCGUGCCAGCAGCCGCGGAAAUACGUAGGUCCCAAGUGUGAUCCGGAAUUACUGGGCGUAAAGAGUCUGUAACCGGGUUAGAAAGUCUGUUUACAAAUCCUAUGGAUUAACCAUAGAGAGGGAAUGGAUACUGAAAAACCUUGAGAUUAUAGGGGGUAGAUGGAAUUACCGGUGGAACGGUGAAAUGCGUAGAUAUCGGAAGGAACGCCAAAAGUGAAACCAGUACAACUACAGUAAAAUCUGACGGUCAGUAUAAGUUAAUCUUGGGGAGCAAUCGUGGAUUGUUUACACCGGUAGUCCAAGCCGUAAAUUAUGCAUGAUAGUUGUCUUGUUCACUUUAUGUGAUCGUGGGUGCCGUAAUGUAACUAGUUUAGCAUGCAGCAUGGUUAGUAUAUUCGCAAGAUUGAAAAUCAAAGGUAUAGGCGGGGGUAUACACAAGCAGUGGAUUGUAUAGAUUAAUUGGAUAAUAAGCCAAGAAUCUUACAUAGACUUGACAUAUAUUGUGUCAUACGUGAAAGUGUAGUAAUCACGAUUUUGUCGGGAUACGAUAUACAGGUGGUGCAUGGUCAUCGUCAGCUCGUGCCGCAAGAUGU
rnacentral:rRNA from 1 species